UACGUAGGGUGCGAGCGUUAAUCGGAAUUACUGGGCGUAAAGCGUGCGCAGGCGGUUCGUUGUGUCGGCGGUGAAAGCCCCGGGCUUAACCUGGGAAUGGCCGUUGAAACUGGCGAACUGGAGUGUGGCAGAGGGGGGUGGAAUUCCGGGUGUAGCGGUGGAAUGCGUAGAGAUCCGGAAGAACACCGGUGGCGAAGGCGGCUAUCUGGACCGUAACUGACGCUGAGGCGCGAAAGCGUGGGGAGCAAACAGG
rnacentral:rRNA from 1 species